rnacentral:rRNA from 1 species
UACGUAGGGUGCGAGCGUUGUCCGGAAUUCUUGGGCGUAAAGAGCUCGUAGGCGGUUUGUUGCGUCGGCCGUGAAAACCUGCAGCUUAACUGUGGGCCUGCGGUCGAUACGGGCAGACUUGAGUUCGGUAGGGGAGACUGGAAUUCCUGGUGUAGCGGUGAAAUGCGCAGAUAUCAGGAGGAACACCGGUGGCGAAGGCGGGUCUCUGGGCCGAUACUGACGCUGAGGAGCGAAAGCGUGGGGAGCGAACAGG